rnacentral:rRNA from 1 species
UACGAAGGGGGCUAGCGUUGCUCGGAAUCACUGGGCGUAAAGGGUGCGUAGGCGGGUCUUUAAGUCAGGGGUGAAAUCCUGGAGCUCAACUCCAGAACUGCCUUUGAUACUGAGGAUCUUGAGUUCGGGAGAGGUGAGUGGAACUGCGAGUGUAGAGGUGAAAUUCGUAGAUAUUCGCAAGAACACCAGUGGCGAAGGCGGCUCACUGGCCCGAGUACUGACGCUGAGGCACGAAAGCG